rnacentral:misc_RNA from 1 species
AUGACCAUUCUACAUGCAAUUUCUCUUCUCGCUCCUGUUAUGGGCUCUGAGAUUACUUGUUCCACACUUCUCCCUGUUGUCGUCAAUACAUCAAAAGAUAGGGUACCCAACAUUAAAUUCAAUGUGGCUAAGGUGUUGCAGUCUCUUAUCCCCAUAGUUGAUCAGUCGGUGGUGGAUAAGACGAUUCGUCCAUGUUUGGUUGAGCUUAGUGAGGACCCAGAUGUUGAUGUGAGAUUCUUUGCUACCCAAGCACUACAGUCAAGUGAUCAGGUAAUGAUGUCUACCUAGAUUGAAUGUAGUAAUUAGGAAUUCUUUUCCCCCUUUCCAAAUUCGUGAUCAAUCAUCAUCUUACUGAUAUAUGUAAUGGCUUACACAAGGGACUGAGGUUUCUUCCACUGAGACAAUCCUUUUCACUUGCACACCUGUUCUAUUUUUAGGAUAGUGUCUUGAAACACAUUACAGGUUAUAGCUUGUAUCAUGCCAUGUUAAUGCCAUUUCUGGUUUUU